rnacentral:lncRNA from 1 species
UUUUCCGCCUCUCCGCCUCCCUGAGUACCCACCCGAUCGAGCCCUAGCAUUUCCGCCUCUCCGCCUCUCGAUUCUCCCUCAAGCCUCCUCCCUCCUCUCCGGUUCAUAGAUCGAGCGUUGCCUCACCUCCGCUCAUAUAACUGGUGGUUCAUAGCUUGAGGCUUGAGCCCUAGACUUUCUCCCUCACCCCCUGAAUCCUGAUCAUAUAACGUCGGAUAACUCCGUGACGAUAACCCUAACCGAUCCCACCCUGCUCCCUCUCCCCCUGCUAUAAAAGGACCGUAAGCACACUAUACAAAGUGAUAUAUCUUCUCCGUCGCUUGCUCUCAUCUCAUCAUCUUUCUCGAUCUCCGCGGAUGGCUGUGAACUCCAUCCUCGCCAACGGCGGCAAGGGGCC